GACACACUGAAAAGGAAGGAACACACUUAAUGACUUGUACAACUACCACAUAUUCAAACAUAUACAGUCACACCCGUUCAUCGACUUAGAAUAAUGUGUCCUAUUUACCACAACUGCGUCGGAAAACUGAAGUACACAAUAGACAUCUAAGAGCUUUGCCACCAGUGCAGCAAUAUUCCUGUAAAUAAGAGCACAAGCACAUAUAUUAUACACACAGUUAUGUGAAUGACACAUUUUUUGUUGAGACAACAUUAAAUAAAAAGUUGUGCCACUGAUCUGGUCAACUUACUCGUCAGAGGUAAAAAUGUAUCCAAGUACAUGUUUUGCGCUGAGUAGGAUGACACCUUGAAAAAUGGCCAGUACAGCUGUAGAAUCCAGUCAGAACAGAACAGAGAAGGCAGUCAGAACCAUCCGACUCAUCAUGUAACCAUGGAGCCCAAAAACAUGAGGGGGUGGGAAAUGUAAGCUUUUGUUUACCUGCGAAGAUCAAAACCACUUUGCUGGUGAGGAUGGCUCCUGCAGUGUCUCCUGCACCUAGUGCAUUUCCCACACGAAUGCAGGCAGCCCCUUGGAUGCCUAAAGGGAUCUUAACAGCCACACACAAAUAAGCAAAAAACCUGCUAGGAAUCCUCCGAUCUCAUAGAUCCACCACCCAAAGCAGCACAAGAAGGCACUGGGGAUGGCCAGCUUCAAAGAACCCCAUUCCUGCAGGCAGUCUGAGUUCCAGCCUGUGGCACAACACAACACUCACACUCAGUACCAGAGCUGGUGACACAGUACAGUAGGCCUGACAAGUGUGUGCAGCGUAUGCUUCAUUAAAAAAUAUUGUGCCUUUGAAGACAAUUGAAUUUAUGUCCAUGUAUAGGAGAGAGGGAGAGAUCAGUCAAACCUGCAGCCUGACUGCAACAGCAAGGAGCUUGCGGCAGUUAGGCCACAUACUGACAGCACUCUGUCACACGCCACACAAUUUAUUUCACUGGAGUGAAUUGCUAUUGCAACGAUGGCAGCCUACAAACUCUAGAUUUGCAGCACCCAGCUUCCAGCACGGGUUACCUGGCCACCUCAGGCUCCUGUCCCAGCACCAGCAGGAUGGCCUGGGAGUUGAUCAGCAGUGCCCAGCAGGGCAGACAGAAGAGCAGCAAGAUCAGGAUGCUCUUCUGCAGGAUCACCCCCACACGCAGCAGGUUCUUCGCCCCAAACGUCUGCGCAGAGAACAAACACACACACACACACACACACACACACACACACGCAUGCAGCUCAGUGGCAGGGCACUUGCUCACAGAUACACAUGCACACAUGCACACACACACACACACACACACACACACACACACACACACAAACGAAUGCACGCACACACACACUCACACACACACACACACACAAACACAGACAUACACACAUGCACACAGCUCAGCAGCAGGGCACUUGCUCGUAGACACACACACAAACACAUACAGACACACUCACACAGGCACACACAGGCACUCUCUAACACACACACACACACAAACACUCUCUCUCACACACACACACACAAUGCAUGCAUACAUAAGCAUGCAUUCUGUAUAUUAAUCGACGCAUUGUCUUAAAGCUUACCAUCACAAACGCAAUUUCAUCCUGUCAUUUCAUAAAACAUAAUCACACACUUACAAUGCCAGACAGGGGAGACCGUUUUAGUUUAAAAACACCACCAUCAACAUGUCCUCUGGCGUAGCUUUCAUCUUAUGUGAUUGAAUAAGAAUCCUGUUUUUUUUUUUUUUUUUUUAAGGCUAUCAGGUUUCAGUCAUCUGGAAAAUCAUGCGUAUCAACAUCAAGGUGAAGCCUACCUGAGAAAUUAGUGUGUCACAGGCUAGGGUUAAUCCAAGACCCGUAGAUGCACUUGAUAUAUUUAUAACCUGUAGAGCAGACUGUCACUAACAACAGAAAUGGUCUGAAUGGCUUAUGCAGUCGGUUAUAAAAGAAUCCACCAAGACUGAUGGGACGUGAAUGGAAAGUAGAUGGAAGGGCUUACAGCACAGGCCAUGGCAUAACCAGCAAGAGCACUGUUCCCAAGGCGGCCAACGAAUAUCGUCACCACAAAGGGCAAGAGGGGUCCGGUCAGACGCAGGAUGCAGUAGAGCUCUUCCCUGAUGGCCAGAGGGACCCUGCGCCUCAAAGGGCUGCAGCAGAACAGCUUGGCACUGGGCUCGUCCAGCGAGAAGGCCCCCGCAGCCCUGCUGCCUCCGGUCGCAGACAUGUUGUCCUCUCCUCAGCCCUGGGCUGGCCAAGGGGAGUCAGGGGCCACUAUGGUGCCAUCCUUCAGCCAGCGUCAGGGUGGGGUGGCAGUGGUCCAGUUUCCAGCGUCUAUGGUGCCGUUGGUUCUUGAGCUCCAGGAGGACUCUGGUAGAGGCAGGAGGAGGUGGACUGUGACACCCACACCGAGGAUGAGGAGGAGAGCCAGCACAG